rnacentral:rRNA from 1 species
UACGGAGGAUGCAAGCGUUAUCCGGAUUCAUUGGGUUUAAAGGGUGCGCAGGCGGAAUAAUAAGUCAGUGGUGAAAGCCUACAGCUCAACUGUAGAACUGCCAUUGAUACUGUUAUUCUUGAGUGUUGUUGAGGUAGGCGGAAUGUGUCAUGUAGCGGUGAAAUGCUUAGAUAUGACACAGAACACCGAUCGCGAAGGCUGCUUACCAAGCAACAACUGACGCUCAUGCACGAAAGCGUGGGGAUCAAACAGUAUUAGAUCCCCUGGUAGUCCACGCCGUAAACGAUGAUCACUCUAUGUUGGCGAUACACAGUCAGCGUCUUAGCGAAAGUAUUAAGUGAUCCACCUGGGGAGUACGGUCGCAAGAUUG